rnacentral:rRNA from 1 species
UACGGAGGUCCCAAGCGUUGUUCGGAUUCACUGGGCGUAAAGGGUGCGUAGGUGGUAAGGUAAGUCGGAUGUGAAAGCUCCGAGCUCAACUCGGAAAUGGCAUUGGAAACUACCUUGCUCGAGGGUUUGAGGGGGGACUGGAAUACUUGGUGUAGCAGUGAAAUGCGUAGAUAUCAAGUAGAACACCAGUGGCGAAGGCGAGUCCCUGGAAAACUCCUGACACUGAGGCACGAAAGCUAGGGGAGCAAACAGG